rnacentral:tRNA from 1 species
NNCCCGUUGGUCAAGUGGUUAAGACACCGCCCUUUCACGGCGGUAACACGGGUUCGAAUCCCGUACGGGUCA